GCUGUAUAUCUCUCUCUGGACAGACUGAGCUGUAUAUCUCUCUGGACAGACUGAGCUGUAUAUCUCUCUCUGGACAGACUGAGCUGUAUAUCUCUCUCUGGACAGACUGAGCUGUAUAUCUCUCUGGACAGACUGAGCUGUAUAUCUCUCUCUGGACAGACUGAGCUGUAUAUCUCUCUCUAGACAGACUGAGCUGUAUAUCUCUCUCUAGACAGACUGAGCUCUGUAUAUCUCUCUGGACAGACUGAGCUGUAUAUCUCUCUCUCUCAGACAGAUUCCUUUUCAAUCCUUCAAAUACAUCAAAUAACAUUCUGAUUCAUUUGGCCUUUUUGUGUGAGUCCCAUUUCGCUGUAAAUCUGUGGGUAAAUCUUACAACAGGUUUACAUUGUAACGUGUGAUGCUGCAUUGUGUAUUCACAUCUGAUGCUUUAUUCAUUAGGUAUUCAUCAGUAGAAAGCAAUGAGUAUUUAAAUCACAGUACAGACAGUAGUUUCACACACUAACAGAGACUAACAGAGUGUCUGGCAGGUUAGAGCCUGGGGUUAGGGGUCAGGGGUUAGAGGAUAGGGGGUUAGAGGUUAGAGAAUAGGGGUUAGGGGUUAGAGGUUAGGGAAUAGGGGUUAGAGGUUAGGGGUUAGGGGUCAGAGGAUAGCGGUUAGAGUCAGGCAGUAACAGGUGAUAGCAGCAGCAGCUAGAGAGUAGUCAAGGCCCGUGAUGCUGCAAAGCGUUUCAAUGAGACUCCGUCAUCGCCAACCAAUCAGGUCCUCAGCCUGCUGCGUCUGUCUGCGUGGGGGGAGGGGCCAAAGACUGUCCAGUUAAAGGCCGUCUGUCAGACCAAUCACCUCAAGGCUUCAGCCUCCAUGAAAAAUCACAGGGAUCACAGCAAAACAGCAAUAAGAGCAUCACACGUGUUAUAACAGACGUUACAAGGUGUUAUAACAGAUGUUACAAUGUGUUAUAACAGACGUUACCAUGUUUUAUAACAGUGUUAUGGAUGUAUGAGAUGUUAAAACACAUUGUAACAGUGUUAUAGAUGUAUGAGAUGUUACAAUGUGUUAUAACAGAUGUUACAAUGUGUUAUAACAGAGUACAAUGUGUUAUAACAGUGUUAUAGAUGUAUGAAUGUUACAAUGUUUUAUAACAGAUGUUACAAUGUGUUAUGACAGUGUUAUAGAAGUAUGAGACGUUACAAUGUGUUAUAACAGUGUUAUAGAAGUAUGAGACGUUACAAGGUGUUAUAACAGGUGUUAUAACAGUGUUAUAGAUGUAUGAGGACCAUGUAUAUAAUAUAGGAUCAUGUUAACAGACUGCUCUACCUGAGAAAACCUUUUCCACACAGACACUCUUAACUUUCCCAUGGUCACAUCCCACCACAGACAGACAGGGGAUUCAGAACCACAGACAGACAGGGGAUUCAGAACCACAGACAGACAGGGGAUUCAGAACCACAGACAGACAGGGGAUUCAGAACCACAGACAUGUUAACAGACAGACAGGGGAUUCAGAACCACAGACAGACAGGGGAUUCAGAACCACAGACAUACAGGGGAUUCAGAACCACAGACAGACAGGGGAUUCAGAUCCACAGACAGACAGGGGAUUCAGAUCCACAGACAUACAGGUGAUUCAGAACCACAGACAUGCUAACAGACAGACAGACGGGAUUAAGACCCACAGACAUGUUAACAGACAGACAGACGGGAUUAAGAACCACAUAUGUGGAAUCCAGUGUCUGAUUCAAUACAAUGUGAACUUCUCUCUCUCUCUCUCUCUCUCUCUCUCUCUCUCUCUCUCUCUCUCUCUCUCUCUCGUUCCAAAGUACCCUCUGAAUAUAGUGUUUUAGCAACCCAGAUAUUGUCCUGUUUCAACAACGCAUGCCAUCCUCAGAAAUGUAGCGUCAAUAGUUAAACCCUGUCUCCCUCCAAUCAGACGAAGGUGUUGGGAGGAUUGGCACUGAUUGGCCAGGCCAGCUUCUUCUCCUUGGCCUCGCGGUCAAACGUGUCGUAGACUGAGUCUUUGGCGAGUGUCGUCUUGGUCGCCGCGGGGACGUCGACCACGCCCACGUAGUUGUUCUUGGCCAUGCGGGAGCUGGCGGUGAUGGUGUAGGCGUUGCUACGGUAACACUUCAUAGAGGACGUGCAGAAGGUCUCCCCUCGUGCCGCGUCUGAAGUUAGCGUUGUAGACGGAGUAGAGCGACGGUUUGGAGGCGGCGGAGCUAAACGCCACCCACAUCACGCAGCAGAAGACCAGAGCCCCUUGUCUGCUGGGGCCCGGGGCCUCACUAGGGUGCCACAGCUGGACAACGUAGAAGGGAGUCCAGGUGAGGAGGAACACAACGUUCAACAUGAGAAACAUCUUGAUGGUCUUCACUUUAGUCCUUGGGACGAUGUUCAUGGUUCUCCGGACCGUGUGUCCGUCUGCGCCCGAUCCUCCAGAUGUAACGGACGACGCGCUGGUAAAACCACACGAUGAGGACGGCUGGGAUCAAGAAACCCAGGAGCAGGUGGGCGGAUCCGUACGCCACGCCGUCCCAGCUUCCCGCCGGC
rnacentral:lncRNA from 1 species